AUCAUUAUUGUGUGGCGACAGAGAUGUGCUGAGCACUUGGGCAGAUUUUGAUGCUGGUUUCCCUGCAGAGAGGGGAGCAGUGCAGCUCAGCUCUUUGAUGUGACAUUCAGGAUUCUUCAGAGCCACUGGAAAUGUGGCAGCCUAUGAUGAUUCUCUGCUGGAAACAGCAUUAGGAACCUACACAACUUUGGCUUGCACUGAUGGAAAACUGAUGGCUUCUGGUCAAGUGAGAGUCAAAGGAUGAAGGGCUGAAAUCAGCACAAGAGCUCAGGACUGGAGAGGAUGAUGAUACCAGUCAAGAGGAAAGAGUGAUGCUCCACACCCUUUCUCAGCAGUGAUUAAAUCUAUUAAACCUAUAUUUGCAUCUC